UCUCGAUAGCGUAAAAGUUAACUCAUAUUUUUAUGGAGUUGGAACGUUUGCCGCUAUGGGCGCUGUUCCAAUUGCAUACAAAUUUGAGUUAACUUUUACGCUAUCGA
rnacentral:pre_miRNA from 9 species